CCUACGGUGCGCUGCAGUGGGGAAUAUUGGACAAUGGGCGAAAGCCUGAUCCAGCCAUGCCGCGUGUGUGAAGAAGGCCUUCGGGUUGUAAAGCACUUUCAGUGGGGAAGAAAGCCUUGGGGCUAAUACCCUCGAGGAAGGACAUCACCCACAGAAGAAGCACCGGCUAACUCCGUGCCAGCAGCCGCGGUAAUACGGAGGGUGCGAGCGUUAAUCGGAAUUACUGGGCGUAAAGCGCGCGUAGGCGGUCUGAUAAGCCGGUUGUGAAAGCCCCGGGCUCAACCUGGGAACGGCAUCCGGAACUGUCAGGCUAGAGUGCAUGAGAGGAAGGUAGAAUUCCCGGUGUAGCGGUGAAAUGCGUAGAGAUCGGGAGGAAUACCAGUGGCGAAGGCGGCCUUCUGGACUGACACUGACGCUGAGGUGCGAAAGCGUGGGUAGCAAACAGGAUUAGAUACCCUGGUAGUC
rnacentral:rRNA from 1 species